rnacentral:lncRNA from 1 species
AUCCCAGAGUGUCCAGGCUUACCUGUGAGGUUGUGGGUUGCUUCCAGGUAUCUGACAUCUUCAUGGGUGAUACAAGCCACUGUCACACGCUGCACAGGCACAGCAGCUCCUUUCGAAUUAUCCAGAGUGUUUCCCUCUGAAUACUUGUAAGGCCACAUCCUGAAUUGGCACAACAUAUUCGUACAGAUUCCAAAUGGGAGGUAAGACAUAUAUGAGUGCUUGGUAGAAGGCUGCACAGAGAAGUUAGGGACCACCACAGACACUGGCUGGAGAGUCAUAUGGUAAGACUUCAUGGAUAUUUCGCGAUUUCUGGUUUGGUAAGUCCAAGAAAAGCAAAGGUCCAGGCA